rnacentral:pre_miRNA from 1 species
AGAACUAAAUCUUGUUCCUAAGUACUAGUGCCGCAGGAGUGUUUUUACUAUCUCCUGCUGCUUAAGUGCUUAUCAAGAAGUAUUUAGUGCU